GUGAAAGGCUACACAGCUUGGUCAUUGCUUGACAAGUUUGAAUGGGAGGAGGGCUAGUCCGAAAGAUUUGGCCUGUACUAUGUGGACUUUAUUUAAAGCUGGAAAAGAAAGGCACUGGAAACAUGCACCUCAAGCAACCAGCUCCUUGCGGCAGCUAGAAGAAAAUCCAAGGAAAAUAAGGAACAUGCAGAUAUGCCAAAGGUUUGGCCUGUGCAUGAUGAAGUUUAGGUUCA